CGUUGAAAUACAGGUUUUCGUAUGAUCACCGAAGUUAAGCAACGUCGAGCCUUGUCAGUACCUAGAUGGGUGACCACUUGGUAAUACCUCCUU